CUCAUACUUUUACAUUACCAACAAACCAUGUCCACAGCUAAGCUAUUACAUAAACUUCUCUUACUCUGCUGACUUCUCUAUCUACUCUGCACCUGCAAGACUGGGGUUAGGGGAGAGGGGGUGAGCUAUAAAGCCCAAUGAGCAGAAACUAAAAACAUUUGCUUUAAUUCCUCCAUUUUUAGGUAUAUUAUUAUUCAUUUUAUUAUUAUUAUUAUUAUUAUCAUUAUUAUUAUAUUAUUUAACUUUUUUCUUUCUUUUUUUUUUUUUUUAUUCGUGCUUUCAUGAAAUGCAACACAUCACAGCUAAUCACAUAAAGGAUGGUAUUGUCACCAUUAGUCCUCAACAUCUCCAAAUGCCAGGGGCGUAGAAUGGGCCUCACUGGUCUUUCUCUUACAUAACAUAACAUUCUAAAGUGCCAGGGGCGUAGAAUGGGCCUCGCUGGUCUUUCUCUUACAUAGUGCCAGGGGCGUGGAAUGGGCCUCGCUGGUCUUCCAUAACAUAUCAUCAUAGCAUAACAUCAGAGGACUAUGGAUCACCCAACAACCAUCCACAUCAACAUCAAUUUAUGCAAUGCAGCAUAUUCGUGAAUUCUAAUGCAAACAUCCUGAAAUAUUGCAUGGCAUAAUGAUGCAUGGGCAAUGCUUUAUGAUUCAUUCAUUUAUUCAUUUACUUUACUUUAAAACUUAAUGGGAUUGUUCCACUCACCUGGUGACUGAAGCUUUAACAACGAACUCUGAACGACUAUCUCACAACCGGGGGUCUCGGUUCCUCGGGUCCGAACCUACACAGGUGGACUCAAAUGAGGCACCAAACAACAAGAACAUAACUCUAAACAUACCCCCAAAAAAAAAACCUCCUAAAAACACCUCAAAACACUCCUAGGAAGCAUGCAAGAAAAGGCUGGACAGGGCACUUUCGGCGGCACCUUCGGCGGCCGGAAGUCCCUCCAGAGCCGAAAGUCAGGCAGGUUCGGCGGCACCUUCGGC
rnacentral:lncRNA from 1 species